GAAGUCGUGCGUUCAGUCUGUGUCGACGCCAGGACCCACGAGGAGACGAUGAUGUUGGGCACCGAAGGCGGAGAGGGAUUCGUGGUGAAGGUCCGGGGCUUGCCCUGGUCUUGCUCGGCGGACGAGGUGCAGCGUUUUUUUUCUGACUGCAAAAUUCAAAAUGGGGCUCAAGGUAUUCGUUUCAUCUACACCAGAGAAGGCAGACCGAGUGGCGAGGCUUUUGUUGAACUUGAAUCAGAAGAUGAAGUCAAAUUGGCCCUGAAAAAAGACAGAGAAACUAUGGGACACAGAUAUGUUGAAGUAUUCAAGUCAAACAACGUUGAAAUGGAUUGGGUGUUGAAGCAUACUGGUCCAAAUAGUCCUGACACGGCCAAUGAUGGCUUUGUACGGCUUAGAGGACUCCCCUUUGGAUGUAGCAAGGAAGAAAUUGUUCAGUUCUUCUCAGGUAUGUAGUUGUGUUUGAUGCUGAGCAGUGAGUUCUGGCAAGCUUCUGGCAACAUGUGAUUUAAUAGACCUUAAAGUCCAGUAGCUUAGAUACUUAAACAGGUGUGAGUAUGUGCAGAUGAAUUAAAUGUUUUCUUCUUCCUGGAGACCUUCAAAUAAUUUAAGCCCAUCUUAAAGGUGGAAAUUAAGUACUUCCAAAAUGCUAAGUUUGCCUAUAUUUAGUGUUGUAGUUUAGAGUAGAUCUUUGAGGAUUGUCCUCGACAGCUUAACUACUUCCCUCACAAUGCUGUUCAGCAAAGUACCAAGUAAAGGUAAGAUUCCUUAACGUUAGAUUAGUAUCAGUUAGGUUGUUGUAAUUUAUGGCAAGCGCCUAUGUCUUAAGACACGUUGGGUCAUGGGCCCAGAAAUGUCUCUAAUGGUCUAAUUCUCUUCAUGGGGGGGAAAAAACCCACAACAACUUUUAUGGUUCGUUUAGCCAGGGAAUUAUAUAAACUUACUAAAAGUCGGUCUAAUGUAGGAGUAGUUUGAAUGUAGUCUCAGUAUCUGAAAUACAGAAAGUGUUUUGAAAUUGUUCUGGGCCUAAAGUAUUUGAAUGUUUUUAUGCUGAAGAGCUGAUAAAAUUGCAUGUUUAGCAGAAUGUUAGAUAACAUACUUUAAGUAACUAUUUUAAUAUUCAUGAUGUAAUAAAGUGGAAUUAAGAACAAGAAAUCCUUUCAUGGUUCAGUGUAGUAUGUAUUAAAAUUUUGACUUAGAUAUGUUAUCAGGUCCUAAUAUUUUGCCAGAAUUUUUGAAAUCAAGUCUGUUUUGAUUGUUUUUGUCUAAAUUGGUGAGAAUUGAAUGCUAUCUGUCAACGUUAAAUAUGAACAUAAUUUCAUAUCUUCUAGGAAAGUGCUUUAAGCCCUUUUUGUAAGCUUGGGAAUGUAUCCACGGAAAGGAUUUUUCAUAGACGGAAUUUCCAGAAGUGAAUCAUACUACUGUUAGAGCAUAAGAGUGCAUGAUUGUGCUGUGUAGAUCAGUUGUUUGUUGAAAAGUUUAGAUUGUAUGUUUGUCAAUUAUAUGACUUAAGCAAUGUUUCAAUUUGUAUAUAAAAUGUUUAAAUGUGUAAUUUUUAAAAAAAAUUGAAGUUCCACUAACUUAAAACAUUGAAAUAUAAAAUGAGGUAAAAGGUGUGUUUUAAGUUUAGUAACUGUUGUAUUUAAUGCUUGAAACUUUAUUAAAUUCUUUUGUAAUUCUCAACAUUAAUUUGCAUAGAUUAGAGUGUUAAUUGUUGAAUUCUUAAUGCAUCCUGUGUUCAAGUGUUUUUUGUUUUUUGUUUUUUUUGUUUUUAUUUUGUUUUUUGUUUUUUUUCUUUUACAUACUAUGCCAUGGGGUGUGUUAAGAAUUGAGUUAUACUUUGUAAUAAUGGAACUUCAUAUUAUUACAAUGCAUAUGUAAAGAGUUACUUGUUGAAAGCAUACCGUUCACCUAAAGUUAAAAUUCUGGUUUAUUUAAAGCUAUAAGAAGAAUCAUUUUUGGGCUUGUGAUGUUAAUAUUGCCCCCCUACUGGGGUUAUUUGUCCUUGGGUUGAAGGGUUGGAAAUCGUGCCAAAUGGGAUAACAUUGCCGGUGGACUUCCAGGGGAGGAGUACGGGGGAGGCCUUCGUGCAGUUUGCUUCACAGGAAAUAGCUGAAAAGGCUCUAAAGAAACACAAGGAAAGAAUAGGGCACAGGUGGGGAUGGAUGGUUGGUUGGAUUUGUCACUUUUCUUAUGGUAAACAAUUAAAUCCAUAUUCUCUCUGCUUAGAAGGAAGAAAUCUAUUUUCUAGUCCCAAUUGAUUGAUGUUUUGCCACAAUUUUCAAAUUUCCUGUGUUAAAAGUCCCAUAAUGCAUUGAGAUGAAAGUUUAGGUUUUAAAAUUGUCCCCAGUUAAUUUGAUCUCCCUGACAAUAUUGUAAGAUUCCUAAUUCUAAUCACUAGAGUUGAGAGACUAUGGCUUUAAAAAAUGUUAAUGCAAACCUGGCUUUAGCUGUAAUAACACCCACCUAGUAAAUUAAUAUUACCAUAAGAAAAUGUGAUACUUUCUGAUCUUGUUUUUAAAGUUGAAAUGCAACAAACUUUUUCUUGCUGUAUAAAUAUUCUGCAUAUGUAUUAAUAAGCAUAGCUUUCAAGAAAUUGUCACAAAAGGUUUUAUUCUCUUUGCUUGUGACUAUUUUUCAUUGAAGCAUGCGCUUACCUAUGCUGAUUCCUACUAAAAGCAUAGGCCUGGGGUAUUAUUGGCGAAAGGAAAUGUGUAGUGUGGGCUAGACUGUUGGUGGAGGCUGGCUUUUUAGCCCACUUGCUAUACAUGCUGCCAACGAUUUAAGACCUGAAAUGUUGAAAGUUGAGCGGAAUUCUUUCCCUCCUGAGACAUUUAUAGUACUCCUCUUUACCCCUAAGGUUGGGCUCUCUGCCUCAGAGGAGUGACUUUUACUCUAUAAAUUUUACAUUAAAUCUUACAAUUGAGUGAAUUUCUGGUCAUUGCCUAUGCAAAUAUAAGAAAUCUGGCUUUAAAUAUUAGUCAGUUUCAUGGCUAUGACUACAUUGUUUUCUUGUGUAACUAAGUACCUGUAUGAAAUGGACUAAUGUUUUCUCUCCCCUCCCCACCCCCUUCCCUCAUGAACAAUGCUUUAGGUAUAUCGAAAUCUUUAAGAGCAGUCGCGCUGAAGUUAGAACUCACUAUGAUCCACCACGAAAGCUUAUGGCCAUGCAGCGGCCAGGUCCCUAUGACAGGCCUGGAGCUGGCAGAGGGUACAACAGCAUUGGCAGGGGGGCUGGCUUUGAACGGAUGAGGCGUGGUGCUUAUGGUGGAGGUUACGGAGGCUAUGAUGAUUAUAACGGCUAUAAUGAUGGCUAUGGAUUUGGGUCGGAUAGAUUUGGAAGAGGUAAGGUAAGAAUUGAGUUUCUCAGCUGAAGGAUACUCACACUCUUGUAAAUCUAGACCUCAAUUACUGUUUUUCAGGAAUGUCUGACCACAGAUACGGGGAUGGUGGCUCUACUUUCCAGAGCACAACAGGACAUUGUGUACACAUGCGGGGAUUGCCUUACAGAGCUACUGAGAAUGACAUUUAUAACUUUUUUUCACCGCUCAAUCCUGUGAGAGUACAUAUUGAAAUUGGUCCUGAUGGCAGAGUAACUGGUGAAGCGGAUGUCGAGUUUGCAACUCACGAAGAUGCUGUGGCAGCUAUGUCAAAAGACAAAGCAAAUAUGCAACACAGAUAUGUAGAACUCUUCUUGAAUUCUACAGCAGGAGCAAGCGGUGGUGCUUACGAACACAGAUAUGUAGAACUCUUCUUGAAUUCUACAGCAGGAGCAAGCGGUGGUGCUUAUGGUAGCCAAAUGAUGGGAGGCAUGGGCUUGUCAAACCAGUCCAGUUAUGGCGGCCCAGCCAGUCAGCAGCUGAGUGGUGGUUAUGGAGGCGGCUAUGGUGGCCAGAGCAGCAUGAGUGGAUAUGACCAAGUUUUACAGGAAAACUCCAGUGAUUUUCAAUCAAACAUUGCAUAGGCAGCCAAGGCGCAGUGAACAGCAGCUACUACAGUAGUGGAAGCCGAGCAUCUCUGGGCGUGAACGGAAUGGGAGGGAUGUCUAGCAUGUCCAGUAUGAGUGGUGGAUGGGGAAUGUAACUGAUCCUGAUCACUGACUCUUGGUCAACGUUUUUUUAAAAAAGUUUAACAGUUUUGCAAUACAAGCUUGUGAUUGAUGCUUACUCUAAGUGGAAAUCAGGAUUGUUUUAAAGACUUAAGGUUCAGUAUUUUUGAACACAAACAUUCAUCUAGGAUGUAACAACGGAGUAAACUAUAACUGUUAAACAAUUUUCAGCUUUUCUCUAGUUCUAUUGUAGGAUGUACUUAAGCAGCAAGUGUAUUUAGGUUAAAGCAGUUGAAUUAUGUUAAAUGUUGCUCUUCUACCACAUUACAUUGAACACUGUUGGGAUGCAUGUUGAAAGACAUGCUUUUUUGUAAAACUCAAUAUAGGAGCUGUGUCUACAAUUAAAAGUGAACACAUUUGGCAUGUUUGUUAAUUCUAGUUUCAUUUAAUAACCUCUAAGGCACGUAAGUUGAAGCUUUUUUUUUUUUUUUUUAAGUUAAUGGGGGACUUUGAGACGCAACACCAUACGUUAGGAUUUUGGUCUUGGUGUUUGUAUGAAAUUCUGAGGCCUUGAUUUAAACCUUUCCUUGUAUCGUGAUUUCCUUUUAGGUGUAUUGCGCUAAGUGAAACUUGUCAAAUAAAUCUUCCUUUUAAAAACUGCACUUUGUCUUGUCUGUGCUUCAGUGUCAUGUGGACUGUUUCUUGGUGCUCUCUUCCUGCCUGGGGCGUAGGUGACAGUGGCCCACGUCUCUGGCUGUGGCAGAGAGGCUCGGCAGCUUCCUUCCCUCCGGUGCAACUGAAGGGAACAUCUGUGUUGAGAAAAGGCCCGUGGGAAGAAGAGACGAGACGAUAACUAGAUGUGUGGGGAGGAAGGCUAAAUGAGCGCUAAGGCCCAGAGGUGAAGUGACCUGCUUCAGGCUCCCCAGCAAGCUGGAGUCCAAAUUGGGUGCACUGAAAACAAGGUACAGAUCUCUAAUGCCAGACCAGUUGCGGGCUGCGUGGCAGCACGUAAGCAUCUUUGGAAAAGCUGGGCCCAGAGAUUAAAAAGCUGCUCAGAGGAAGUGACAGAAGGGGAGGCGGCCUCCUGGGAGCCGCUCUCGCUGCCAUGUACUUGCUGGAAGGAACAUGGCUUUGGAGCUGGGCCCGCAGAUCCUGGGACCUAACCUCGCUGAGCCGCCCAGGUUCCUGUUGGGAAAGGACAGAUCUAAGGGCGCGGCAGAUGCGGGGUCAGAACCCACGAAGGAAAGGGCCAGGGGACGAGGGGCAGGGGACUGGGCAGUGAGCAAGGGGAGUCCACCAAGGGCUCCUUGGGUGGACGGGCUAGUCUGGACAGUUCCUUCACCUGGGUAUUCGAGAGCCCGGACCAGUCGGGUGGGGGUGAGCAUGCGCGGAGCCCAUUUUCAUAGCCGACAAACAGCACCCGUCCUGGCCCUGCUUGGGAAAGUAAGAACUGGUGGCCCGGCAGGCGCUUCCCACAGGUGUGUCCUUCGGAGCGCACUAGAUCAAGCUGUCGUCUGUGUCAACUCCGGGGCCUAGGGAACACCUGAGCUCUGGUGACAGGGGUAAGGUCACUUCCUCCAUGCCCGUCCUGUCCUUGGCUCCCCGGGCAGGGCCAGCCUGCGCCCUGGGCCUCCCCCCCCCGCCCCCAGGUCGGUAGUCCUGGUCCAGACUCGACACGGGGGUGGCUCUGAGGCCUGCCCCCGAGGCCGUCCCUGUGAUGCCGGCAGUUUGUGCACCAGCGUGAAAAAUAAAGGCUUUUAUUGCAGGUCUAGA